AAAUCUGUGUGUUUUCCCAAAAACACAAACCAACCAUCCACAAACCAACAUCCACAAACCAACACACCCCACCCCGCAGCCCCUGGUCCCCAGCCCCUGGGAUGUGACCCCCUCAGGGCUGGCAGUGCCUGCAGGGUCACACCCGCCCAGGCUGGAGGUUCUGGGGCUGCAGAGCUGGCAGGGAGGGCUGUCCCUGCCUGUGUCCCUGUCCCUGUCCCUGUCCCUGUCCCUGUCCCCCCCCCCCCCCCCCCCCCCCCCCCCCCCCGUGUCCCUGUCCCUGUCUGUGUCCCUGUCUGUGUCCCUGUCCCUGUCCCUGUGUCCCUGUCCCUGUCCCUGCCUGUGUCCUUGUCUGUGUCCCUGUCCCUGUCUGUGUCCCUGUCUGUGUCCUUGUCUGUCCCUGUCCCUGUGUCCCUGUGUCCCUGUCCCUGUCUGUGUCUCUGUCUGUGUCCUUGUCUGUCCCUGUCUGUGUCCCUGUCCCUGUCCCUGCCCCUGUCCCUGUCCCAGUCCCUCCCCAGUCCCUCCCUGCCUGUGUCCCUGUCCCUGUCCCUGUCCCUGUCCGUGUCCCUGUCCCUGUCUGUGUCCCUGUCCCUGUCCCUGCCCCUGUCCCUGUCCCAGUCCCUCCCCAGUCCCAGUCCCAGUCCCAGUCCCAGUCCCAGGUGCAGCUGUCCCCAGUUCCUGGCUGGGUUCUGCGGGGCAGGAGCCCUGGGCAGUGCAGGUUUCCUUGGCAGAGCUCUCUGCAGCUCCUGGGCUCACGGCGCCAGGCACAGGCAGGUGGCACAGGUGGCACAGGUGGCACAGGUGGCACAGGCAGGUGUCAGGGUGGCACAGGGAGGUGGCAGAGGCGGCACAGCCUCGCUGGGAUGGACCUGGAGCUCCUCUGGGCUUCCCUUGCUGCAGAGUUGGGCGGUGCUGAUGCUCGGGGGGUCAGAGACGAAAGCGAUGCGAGGAGGAGACGCCCGCAGGGUCGGCGGUGCCGCUGUCACCCAGGGCAGGGCACUGUGUGGGAAGAGAGAGACAAGGAGUUGUUUCCCAGACUGGUCUUUGCAAGUACACAGCAUCCUCCAGCAGACAGGGAAAGUGAAGGAAAGGAGAUUUGGUUUUCUAAGGGUUUGAAUUUGCCAAAAAUAAAGAGACAUCCAGAUUCCUCAGGUGGUGCUGCAGCCUCUCUGAAACACCCCAUCGCUGCAGCAGAUUAAAGGUUAGUCAAAGAAACAAGAAAGGACAGAGAAGGAAAUUUUACUGUGGGCCCACCAGUAAAACUUCCAAAAACUUCCACCAGUAAACUUCCAAAAAAAAAAAGCUCUUUUCCCUGAAUGUUCAUUAAUUUGGGUAGGACACAUCUUUACACAUGAUAACACAUGGCUUUGUUAUACCUUUCCCCUCUUUAUAUCCUUCUAUAUCUAUAUUCACCUACUCAAGCACAAAAUGAAAA
rnacentral:lncRNA from 12 species